rnacentral:rRNA from 1 species
GACAGAGGUGCCAAGCGUUUAGGCGGAAUCACUGGGCUUAAAGCGUGUGUAGGCGGAUUGGUGAGUACCUUGUGAAAUCCCCCGGCUCAACCGGGGAACGGCCUCGGAUACUGGCGGCCUGGAGGGGGGUAGGGGCGUGCGGAACUGUGGGUGGAGCGGUGAAAUGCGUUGAGAUCCACAGGAACUCCGGUGGCGAAGGCGGCACGCUGGACCCUUUCUGACGCUGAGGCGCGAAAGCCAGGGGAGCGAACGGGG